CCUUUACAGUCUAUACUUUUAACAAAAUAGCAAACCUUGUACUUUACAGGCUCCAAAAUGGUACUCCAUACUAUGGCAGCAAUGUCAGGAUUUCUUUGAAGCUCUGAGAGUCAGUGUAGCUGCACGCUGUACUGAGGCACCAAGAAUUUUACAAACACAGAUACUCUACAUCUGAAUGUACAAGGUACAACGUAACGAUGACUAUAUUAUCUAUGUGUACUUUAAACUGUUAUAAGCAUCUCUUGGUAAGGUAUCCCACCAUGCAUUUGGGAUUCAGUGUUAACUAUAAUUCUUGCAUCAACGACCGGUUCUGCGAAUCCGAAUUCCAACCGGUUACAGUCUCCUCAAUGCAGCAAAGAAGACAAAAUUGGUAGUAGAGCUAGAGAAUCAGUGGCCGUUCUGGAUAGACCAUUAUACCUUACUCGUAGGGUUCGACCGAGAAAUCUGGCUCGUCCGGCUUCUUUAGCGUCGGCAACUCUUUUAUGGCCUUGCCCUUUCCUGUUCCUAGCCAUGACUUUACCGGCCACCAUUCUUAUUUCUUAGAAAGAUAUUCCUCAUGGGUGGAGGAACAUCUUCACCAUCCGAGUCUUCUGAUCUCAUGGACGGGCUGCAGGGUUCAGGGUAUCAUAUCAUCAAUUAGACUAGCAUAGCAAAAUUAACAGAGAACCCCAACGUAUAUACUCAAAGGAACUCUUAUCUUGUCAGUCCAACAGCUGAGUAGUGUAACCUUCCUUCCAGCUGACCAAGCUUUCAUUUCCAAAGUGAGCUAUACUAGCUUAGGCACACACACAUAUACGCUACCUGUUAUGCAAGUCUGCUUUGAAAAGCACAUUGGCACAACUCAUCUUGCAGCAGUGUUCCUACAAGUUAGUACAAACAUUUGACCGUGGAUGAACUUCAUAUGAAAAACGCACUAGUUUGUGCACAGCAAGAUUGCAUUCCUUCGUACAUAACUAUUACUACUGCACAAUCUGAAAAACAUCAAAAUUAACCAGAGAGGAGAGAACUGAAUAUAUCUUCUAAGACUGCGCACAUCUCCCUCUGUCAGUUUGGAUCAUUAUCAGCACAUACCCUUACCUUGUUCUUCCUUUCUUGGGUCCUGGGGGCUCUUGCAGACCUCGCCGAUAUCGCCAAUCCCUGGGUGCAAUUGCUCCUUGUGCCACACCCGUUGCUUGCCCGUCGAUGGGCAUCACAAGCACCUGGUCUUGUCUUCCGGCCCCAACACCCUCCGGUGGUGCUCCCCGUGCGGCCAUGCCGGCCUUUCACACCCUUUGUUUCCACCGCUGUAUUUUUU
rnacentral:lncRNA from 1 species